rnacentral:rRNA from 1 species
GAUGAACGCUGGCGGCGUGCCUAAUACAUGCAAGUCGAGCGAACAGACGAGGAGCUUGCUCCUCUGACGUUAGCGGCGGAUGGGUCAGUAACACGUGGAUAACCUACCUAUAAGACUGGGAUAACUUCGGGAAACCGGAGCUAAUACCGGAUAAUAUAUUGAACCGCAUGGUUCAAUAGUGAAAGACGGUUUUGCUGUUACUUAUAGAUGGAUCCGCGCCGCAUUAGCUAGUUGGUAAGGUAACGGCUUACCAAGGCAACGAUGCGUAGCCGACCUGAGAGGAUGAUCGGCCACACUGGAACUGAGACACGGUCCAGACUCCUACGGGAGGCAGCAGUAGGGAAUCUUCCACAAUGGGCGAAAGCCUGACGGAGCAACGCCGCGUGAGUGAUGAAGGUCUUCGGAUCGUAAAACUCUGUUAUUAGGGAAGAACAAGUUUGUAAGUAACUAUGCACGUCUUGACGGUACCUAAUCAGAAAGCCACGGCUAACUACGUG